UAGGAUAUCGGUCUUUGGGGAGCCUGGUCUUUUGCUUGGACAAAUGCAAGUGCACUUGGAGAUUAGGCUGAACAUAAAAUGAAAGAAAAAGUCAAAAAGCACAAAGAGCGGGAGGACUGAGAUCUUGUCCUAAAGUGGAGCAAAGGAGUGGAGCAUGAUGGACUGCAGAGAUAGGCUGUAAAACUAAGCUUGACUGCGUAUCCGGGUGUUUUCUUGAGCGCCGCAUUGUUCACUGAAAGUGAAAUGCUGAUUCUAAUUGAGAGAAGCACACAGGAGCAUGUUCAAAUAGCUCAUUUGGAGCCUGUGUCAUCGCUUACGGCCAUACCACCCUGAACACGCCCGAUCUCGUCCGAUCUCGGAAGCUAAGCAGGGUCGGGCCUGGUUAGUACUUGGAUGGGAGACCGCCUGGGAAUACCAGGUGCUGUAAGCUUUUCUCUUCUUUUCUUGCAUCUUUUUGCCGUGUUCUCUCUCCAAGAGGCUAGGAUAUCGGUCUUUGGGGAGCCUGGUCUUUUGCUUGGACAAAUGCAAGUGCACUUGGAGAUUAGGCUGAACAUAAAAUGAAAGAAAAAGUCGAAAAGCACAAAGAGCGGGAGGACUGAGAUCUUGUCCUAAAGUGGAGCAAAGGAGUGGAGCAUGAUGGACUGCAGAGAUAGGCUGUAAAACUAAGCUUGACUGCGUAUCCGGGUGUUUUCUUGAGCGCCGCAUUGUUCACUGAAAGUGAAAUGCUGAUUCUAAUUGAGAGAAGCACACAGGAGCAUGUUCAAAUAGCUCAUUUGGAGCCUGUGUCAUCGCUUACGGCCAUACCACCCUGAACACGCCCGACCUCGUCCGAUCUCGGAAGCUAAGCAGGGUCGGGCCUGGUUAGUACUUGGAUGGGAGACCGCCUGGGAAUACCAGGUGCUGUAAGCUUUUCUCUUCUUUUCUUGCAUCUUUUUGCCGUGUUCUCUCUCCAAGAGGCUAGGAUAUCGGUCUUUGGGGAGCCUGGUCUUUUGCUUGGACAAAUGCAAGUGCACUUGGAGAUUAGGCUGAACAUAAAAUGAAAGAAAAAGUCAAAAAGCACAAAGAGCGGGAGGACUGAGAUCUUGUCCUAAAGUGGAGCAAAGGAGUGGAGCAUGAUGGACUGCAGAGAUAGGCUGCAAAACUAAGCUUGACUGCGUAUCCGGGUGUUUUCUUGAGCGCCGCAUUGUUCACUGAAAGUGAAAUGCUGAUUCUAAUUGAGAGAAGCACACAGGAGCAUGUUCAAAUAGCUCAUUUGGAGCCUGUGUCAUCGCUUACGGCCAUACCACCCUGAACACGCCCGACCUCGUCCGAUCUCGGAAGCUAAGCAGGGUCGGGCCUGGUUAGUACUUGGAUGGGAGACCGCCUGGGAAUACCAGGUGCUGUAAGCUUUUCUCUUCUUUUCUUGCAUCUUUUUGCCGUGUUCUCUCUCCAAGAGGCUAGGAUAUCGGUCUUUGGGGAGCCUGGUCUUUUGCUUGGACAAAUGCAAGUGCACUUGGAGAUUAGGCUGAACAUAAAAUGAAAGAAAAAGUCAAAAAGCACAAAGAGCGGGAGGACUGAGAUCUUGUCCUAAAGUGGAGCAAAGGAGUGGAGCAUGAUGGACUGCAGAGAUAGGCUGUAAAACUAAGCUUGACUGCGUAUCCGGGUGUUUUCUUGAGCGCCGCAUUGUUCACUGAAAGUGAAAUGCUGAUUCUAAUUGAGAGAAGCACACAGGAGCAUGUUCAAAUAGCUCAUUUGGAGCCUGUGUCAUCGCUUACGGCCAUACCACCCUGAACACGCCCGAUCUCGUCCGAUCUCGGAAGCUAAGCAGGGUCGGGCCUGGUUAGUACUUGGAUGGGAGACCGCCUGGGAAUACCAGGUGCUGUAAGCUUUUCUCUUCUUUUCUUGCAUCUUUUUGCCGUGUUCUCUCUCCAAGAGGCUAGGAUAUCGGUCUUUGGGGAGCCUGGUCUUUUGCUUGGACAAAUGCAAGUGCACUUG